UUUUUGUUUUCUUUUUGGUUUCCUUUGCUAUGCAAAAGCUUGUCAUUUUGAUUAGGUCCCACUGGUUUAUUUUUGCUUUUAUUUCCGUUGCUUUGGGAGACCAUUUGCAAGGUUGAUGUCAGAGAAUGUUUUGCCUAUAAUUCUCUUCCAGGAGUUUGAUGGUGUCUUGUCUCAUAUUUAAGUCUUUCAGCCAUUUUGAGUGUAUUUUCAUGCAUGGUGUGAGGGUAUGUUGCAGUUUCACUGAGUUGCAUACAGCUGUCCAGGUUUCCCAGCAAUGCUUGCUGAAAAGACUGUCUUUUUCCCAUUUUAUGUUCUUGCCUCCUUUGUCAAAGAUUAAUUGACCAUAGAUGUCUGGGUUUAAUUCUGGGUUUUCUAUUGUUGCAUGGUCUGUCUGUCUGUUUUGGUACCAGUACCACACUGUCUUGAUGACUGUGGCUUUGUAAUAUUGCCUGAAGUCUGGGAGAGCUAUGCCUCCUGCUUAGUUUUUGUUCCUCAAAACCUUGCCUACACUUUAAUAGGACUCUCUCAGACCCAGAAUCAGGUGCUACUUCUUCCAUGUUUUAAAAAUAACUAAGGUGGCACUCAUUAAAUCGCACAGUAAUUAUCUGUUGAUGUUUCUCUUUCACCUUCUAUGUUGUGAACGCUCAGGGGCAGAUCUUAUGCAGGUUUGCAUCCCCAGAGCCUAACGAAGUGCCCAUUUAUAAAUGCAACCAUGGAUGAAGAAUACAAAUAUGAAAGCCAUGUUCUAUGUCUCCAAGAGUUCACAAUGAGGUGAUCAAAAACCAAACAAACAAAAGGCAGUAUAAUACAGUCUAGUGUGGUGGGGAAGAAUAAGGUCUCCCUAGAGUGUGUCCUAUCUGAGUUGAGUUCUGGAGAAUAAGUAGGGGGCAGUCCCCAGGAGGGCGAUGGAAAAAGGAGAGGUGUGCCUCUUCUGGGCAGAAGCAUCAGCACUUCCGAAGGGAAGGUGGAGGAUGGAAGGAACUGUAAGCAGCUCUGGAGAACAGGCAUGUCAGGUGAAAAAGGAGUAACGUCAAUAGAUGAGACAAGAUAAGCCAAGAGAGGCUCCAGAAUGACUAGGUUUAGAAAACCGUGGUGAGGAGUUUGGCCUUUUUGUCAAAGGGAAAAUAGAAUCACAACACAAUUUUAAAUAGCAGCGCAUUUGGGAAAGCUUAUCCUGAGAGCAGACAAUAGACUGGGUGUGAAAAUACUGAAUGAGGGGAGCCAGUAAGAAGGCUGUUUAAGAAGGCCAGGUGUGCCACGAUGUGGGAACAGAAACAAAGCAGUGGCUACAAAGAAGAGGACUAGAGGAGUUCCCGUCAUGGUUCAGUGGUUAAUGCAUCAAGUAGAAACCAUGAGGUUGCCGGUUCUAUCCCUGGCCUUGCUCAUGAGGUUCUUAACCCACUGAGCCCCACUGGGAACUCCAGACAUAUUUAUUUUAAGCUGUCAUUGGGAACCUUAGAUGGAGAAGUUCAACACAAAGUUAGACAGAGGUGUUUGUAGCAUAGGAUAGUUCAAGACAGUCUCCAAAAACAUUAGAAGACUGAUUUACCAAUGAAGUCACAGAGGUGAGUGAGUUCCACUAGAAUGAGAGUUCACAAUGAGAAAAUGAGUCUGAAGCUGGCCAUGUGCAAUACCAACAUUUAUGGGAUAACAAGAACCUGGAAAAUGGCCUGGAGUGUCAGAGAGGUCGGAGAAAGACCAGGAGAGGAUGAUGAACAUCAAGGAAACCAUGACAGAAGACUGCCUGCAGAAGAAGUAUUUUAAUAAUCCCACACGUUGAAAAGAAGUGGUAGAGGUACAAAUGUCUUCACCAAACCUGACAAGGAGAAAGCUUUGUGUUUUCAUAAGAGUAAUUUCAAUGUACUUCAGGAGUCAGGAGCCAAUGUGAGAAAUGAGUUGAAGCUGAGACACUGAAGUCAGUGAAUUAUAGUCCUUCCCAAGCUUUUUUGGAAAAGGGAAGAAAAACUUACAUGUAAUUAGAAGGAAUUCCAAGAGACUUCAACUCUG
rnacentral:lncRNA from 1 species